rnacentral:lncRNA from 1 species
CACAUUCGCAAAAGGCACUUUACUACAGAGACUCCCCCGGGGCUCCUCAGCCUCUCCAAGACCCUGAGCCCCGCACACCCCUCCUCCACCGGCGGCCAGCCUCGGGGGCAGUGUCCAGGCUCAGGGAGUAAGGAGGGGCCGCCAGAGUCCGCGCCAGGAGCAGCGGGUCCGGUCAGGGGCCGAGGCCGGUUCGCCCAGGCAACUGCGGGGUCCGUGCAGCCGGUGCAGCCGCAGUGGCCGCGGCUCGCGGUAACUAAUGCUCCGAGACGCCCGACUAAACCCUCCAAAGCCAGGCGGUGUCAGCGCGAACGCUCGCGCCCGGGCGGCUGACGGAUGCGUCCCCGAGGAGCUCCGCGCCCGGGCGCCGGCACAACUAAUUAGAAGAAAGCCAGUGCCUCCUGCGGAUGAGCGAUACCGUUCUUGUUCUUGGACUGAUGAGUUUCUACUCGGAGGAACGGGGAUUUCGGCUGGUUACAGCACUCCCCCAUGGCUUCUAACCACAGACCUGAUUUUUGCCGCUUAA